GACGAACGCUGGCGGCGUGCUUAACACAUGCAAGUCGAACGGAAAGGCCCGGCGGUUGUGGUGUGCUGGAAUGCCGAACGUGUGGGGAACACGGGAGUAGCAUGCCCUGGACUUUGGGAUAACUACAGGGAACUGGGAGUAGUAAAGGAUAGGUGCUCCCGCUGCAGGGUGGGGGUUGGAAAGGUGCGGGGGUUGGGGAUGGGCUCGCGGCUUAUGAGCUUGUGGGUGGGGUAGUGGCUUACCAAGGACUUGACCGGUAGCCGGGCUGAGCGGGGGGCCGGCCACAUCGGGUCUGGGAUACGGCCCGGACUAAUCCGGGAGGCAGCAGUGGGGAGUGUUACACAAUGGGAGGGAGGCUGCUGCAGCAACGCCGCGUGGGGGGUGACAGGAUUCGGGUUGUAAACCGCAUUCGCCUGUGACGAAGCGAGAGUGACGGUAAUGGGUAAAGAAGCCCCGGCUAACUACGUG
rnacentral:rRNA from 1 species